UACGGGGGGAGCAAGCGUUGGUUCGGAUUUACUGGGCGUAAAGGGCGCGUAGGCGGCCACCGCAAGUCGACUGUGAAAUCUCUGGCUUAACCCAGAACGGUCAGCCGAUACUGCGGGCUAGAGUGCAGAAGGGGCAACUGGAAUUCUCGGUGUAGCGGUGAAAUGCGUAGAUAUCGAGAGGAACACCUGCGGCGAAGGCGGGUUGCUGGGCUGAGC
rnacentral:rRNA from 1 species